rnacentral:rRNA from 1 species
UCAUAAGAUUUUAACCAUGCAUGUCUCAGUACAGGCUUUCAUACAGUGAAACCGCGAAUGGCUCAUUAAAUCAGCUAUGGUUUAUUGGAUAAUACCCGUUAAAUGGAUAACUGUAACAACUCUAGAGCUAAUACAUGCCUCGAUGCCCUGACUCUGUUCUCCUAUAGUCAUCUUCGGUGGCUGUAGUUGUAGGCAGGGGAAGGGUGCACUUAUUAGAUCAGAAGCCAACCGGCGUUGCGUGUCUACGUGCACGUGCGUUGGAGCACUUUUGGUGACUCUGGAUAAUUGUUACAGAUCGCAGUCGGCCUUGAGUCGGCGACGAGUCUUUCAAAUGUCUGCCCUAUCAACUUUCGACGGUAGGUGACAUGCCUACCGUGGUGAUAACGGGUAACGGGGAAUCAGGGUUCGAUCCGGAGAGGAGCUCUGGAAACAUUUCU